CCCUUAGAUGUUCGGGGCCGCACGCGCGCUACACUGAAGGGAUCAGCGUGUCUCACCUCGCCUGAGAAGGCCGGGUAACCCGUUGAACCUCCUUCGUGCUAGGGAUUGGGGCUUGUAAUUCUUGCCCAUGAACGAGGAAUUCCCAGUAAGCGCGAGUCAUCAGCUCGCGUUGAUUACGUCCCUGCCCUUUGUACACACCGCCCGUCGCUACUACCGAUUGGAUGGUUUAGUGAGACCCACGGGUUGGUCCCAGCACGGCGGGUAACCCCUGCGCUGGUGCGCCGAGAAGUCGGUCGAGCUUGAUUAUCUAGAGGAAGUAAAAGUCGUAACA
rnacentral:rRNA from 1 species